UUGGAAGACGCUCAUCAUCCACUUUGUUUCUCCCUUAGGGAUCUCAAUCCUGUUUGUUGUCAGUGUUGCGGGAUUCUGCUACUGGAGGAUGAAAACGCGCCAGAACUAUGUGGUGGCAGUGACGGCCAUCCCAAUGGUGGCUCCCACCACCGCAGCAGAGAACGAUGAGAUGUUGCCACCUGGUGACAUCCCCACGGGCUGAGCACCCAGCACAGAGCACGUUGGUGUACCUACCAGCCCCGCCAGCCAGGAGGAUGCUCGAAGCUUGGUGCUUCCCCAAGUGGCAGUGGCAUGGGGCAUGUCCCCACGUCCCCAGCUGCCCAUUGCAUGGAGCAUCUUCGCUCCAGGGACAUGUAGCUGCUCUUCUCAGCCUGAACAAGUGGAUGAGAUCACUCUGGUGCCAAGAGCCAUUCACUCAUGAACCAACAGCCACAGCAAAGGGUUCCAGCUCCAUCACCAGUUCAGAGGUCAUCGCCUCGUCCACACUCAGGGAUCUUUGGGUGGCAAUUUCGGCACCAAUGCCAGCUGCUCGCAGGGGACUGCACACGGGAGCAUUUUGCUACUAACACUACCAAAGCCUGAAGACAAGGACAUGGCAACAAUAUCUGUUGUUAUCCACUCAUUUCUCCCCCACCCCCUUGCUACAGAACAGAUGGUUUUGCACUGAUGUUUUAUAUAUAAAGGGUAUAUAUUAUAAUGUAAAAAUACGUGCAGAGUGGCUGAUUCUUUAGGUGGGUGUCUUGCCAGCCACAAUGAUGGGGAGGACAGUGGGAAUGCUGGGAUAGACAGCAGCUGGACUGGAGUGAAAUGCAUCCCUGUAGCAGCCAGGGCUUGCCGGUGGUCUUCCAGGUAGGACUGAACCAGAGGAAGGGAGACAUUCCAUGAUUGCAGCUCCUCACUGAUGGGUAUUGUGGAUGCCAAAAAUCUGCAUGGGUAGAAAUUGGCUUUGGACAACAAGGAUGGGUGGCUCAUGGUUGAAUACAGAACUGCAGCUCCAGCAAAUCCACUGCAAACUCUAAAUGAGCAUCACCAUCCUCUAGAGGCAAAGGGUGAAGGCAAGGUGACCUUCAUCAUCAACCAUCUGGCUCAGGUGCAAGGCAAAAGGGGCUUUACCACCCAGCUGGAAAGCCAACCCAAUGUGUCCCUUCCUCACUUCUCUU
rnacentral:lncRNA from 1 species